UAUAAAGGAUAGAGGAUAAAGGGUGAACGAAAGAAAAGGUAACAAAACGAAUAAAGCGAGAUAAAGAGAAACAAAGUGAGAAACUAUGAAAGAAUAAGAUAUGAACAAGAACUAAGAUUGAUUAAAGUGGAACAAAAGCAGAAGAGUUUGCAAAUAAUUAACUCAUUUGAAAAUUUCAAUUAAUAAAUCCUUAUAGAAAUGGAAGCUUGUUAAAUUUAUUUUAUAAAAUAAGAAUGAAAUUUCAUAAAAUUUUUACACCGGUUCUAACUGAUUUGUAUCUCUCCCUACACUACGAUUGCAAUUUACCCUACGUGUUUUCAGAGCUUUAUUCGGUCAACAAGUCCUAUAAAUGUAAUAUCUUUUAUUAUUCAUAUUUAUACCUCUGUUAAUAAGUAGUAAUUGGAUUUCUUACAUGAUACUAUGAAAAGUACUGUUAUAUAAUAUAUAUAUUGUUAUAUACAUAUUUAUUUAAUAGGAUUUAUAUGUUCUGAAAGAACUAAUUCUAAUACUUAAACUUUGUCCUAAGCAUUUUGUUUAUCUUAUACAUCUAAACAACGUACGUGCAUAAUAUUUUUAAAUUCACAAAAUUAAUGAUAAUGAUACAUUGAUGAUAAUGACAAUGAUGAUGAUAAGGUGAUACAUUUCAAUCGAUUUCUACUAUAUCAACAGGAAUAGAAAUAUGUACGAUGACCUUUUGUAACUAUGUGCGUUUGUUUACUAUUAGACUAUAGAGUAACUAUUUUCGAUGCACCCUACUAAUUGUUCUUCCAUUUCAAACAAUCGUGAUUAAUAUCAUAGAAAAGGGGACAAUAAUCGUUAUCUUCGAAAUUUGUAAAAUGCAACACGAAUAUUGAAUCGCAAUGUACCCAAACUUCAUUACCAAAACUUAACAUAUUAUCAG
rnacentral:lncRNA from 1 species